rnacentral:rRNA from 1 species
AGUAAUGCUUGGGAAUAUGCCUUUAGGUGGGGACAACAGUUGGAAACGACUGCUAAUACCGCAUAACGUGCUUUUUGUGGUGAAAAGUACCAAAGGGGGGGCUCUUCGGACCUCUUGCCUAAAGAUUAGCCCAAGUGAGAUUAGCUAGUUGGUGAGGUAAUGGCUCACCAAGGCGACGAUCUCUAGCUGGUUUGAGAGGAUGACCAGCCACACUGGGACUGAGACACGGCCCAG